rnacentral:rRNA from 1 species
GACGUAGGGCGCGAGCGUUGUCCGGAUUUAUUGGGCGUAAAGAGCUCGUAGGCGGCUUGUCGCGUCGUCCGUGAAAACCCACAGCUCAACUGUGGGCUUGCGGUCGAUACGGGCAGGCUAGAGUUCGGUAGGGGAGACUGGAAUUCCUGGUGUAGCGGUUAAAUGCGCAGAUAUCAGGAGGAACACCGGUGGCGAAGGCGGCUUUCUGGACAGAUACCGACGCUGAGGCACGAAAGCUAGGGGAGCAAACAGG